rnacentral:rRNA from 1 species
GGUCCAGACUCCUACGGGAGGCAGCAGUGGGGAAUAUUGCACAAUGGGGGAAACCCUGAUGCAGCGACGCCGCGUGAGUGGAGAAGUAUUUCGGUAUGUAAAGCUCUAUCAGCAGGGAAGAAAAUGACGGUACCUGAUUAAGAAGCCCCGACUAACUACGUGCCAGCAGCCGCGGUAAUACGUAGGGGGCAAGCGUUAUCCGGAUUUACUGGGUGUAAAGGGAGCGUAGACGGCAGCGCAAGUCUGGAGUGAAAGCCCGGGGCCCAACCCCGGGACUGCUCUGGAAACUGCGUCGCUGGAGUACGGGAGGGGCAGGCGGAAUUCCUGGUGUAGCGGUGAAAUGCGUAGAUAUCAGGAGGAACACCGGCGGCGAAGGCGGCCUGCUGGACCGUGACUGACGUUGAGGCUCGAGAGCGUGGGGAGCAAACAGGAUUAGAUACCCGAGUAU